rnacentral:rRNA from 1 species
UUCUAGAGCUAAUACAUGCAGUGAGCCUGAAGCCCUUUGGGCGACGGGUGCUUUUAUUAGACCAAGAUCGAUCGGGUUUCGGCCCGUAUUGUGUGGUGACUCUGGAUAACUUUGUGCUGAUCGCAUGGCCACGAGCCGGCGACGUUUCUUUCAAGUGUCUGCCUUAUCAACUUUCGAUGGUAGGUUACUUGCUUACCAUGGUUGUUACGGGUAACGGAGAAUCAGGGUUCGAUUCCGGAGAGGGAGCCUGAGAAACGGCUACCACAUCCAAGGAAGGCAGCAGGCGCGCAAAUUACCCACUCCCGGCACGGGGAGGUAGUGACGAAAAAUAACAAUACGGGACUCUUUUGAGGCCCCGUAAUUGAAAUGAGUACACUCUAAAUCCUUUAACGAGGAUCAAUUGGAGGGCAAGUCUGGUGCCAGCAGCCGCGGUAAUUCCAGCUCCAAUAGCGUAUACUAAAGCUGCUGCGGUUAAAAAGCUCGUAGUUGGAUCUCAGUUCCAGACGAGUAGUGCAUCUACCCGAUGCGACGGCUCGGACUGAACAUCAUGCCGGUCCUUUCUUGGUGCCCUUCAUUGUGUGCCUCGAGAAGGCCGGUGCUUUUACUUUGAAAAAAUUAGAGUGCUCAACGCAGGCGAGUCGCCUGAAUAAACUUGCAUGGAAUAAUAGAACAAGACCUCGUUUCUGUUCUGUUGGUUUUUGGAAUACGAGGUAAUGAUUAAGAGGGACAGACGGGGGCAUUCGUAUUGCGGCGCUAGAGGUGAAAUUCUUGGACCGUCGCAAGACGAACUACUGCGAAAGCAUUUGCCAAGAAUGUUUUCUUUGAUCAAGAACGAAAGUCAGAGGUUCGAAGGCGAUCAGAUACCGCCCUAGUUCUGACCAUAAACGAUGCCAACCAGCGAUCCGCCUGAGUUACUCAAAUGACUCGGCGGGCAGCUUCCGGGAAACCAAAGUGUUUGGGUUCCGGGGGAAGUAUGGUUGCAAAGCUGAAACUUAAAGGAAUUGACGGAAGGGCACCACCAGGAGUGGAGCCUGCGGCUUAAUUUGACUCAACACGGGAAAACUUACCCGGCCCGGACACUGGGAGGAUUGACAGAUUGAGAGCUCUUUCUUGAUUCGGUGGAUGGUGGUGCAUGGCCGUUCUUAGUUGGUGGAGCGAUUUGUCUGGUUAAUUCCGAUAACGAACGAGACUCUAGCCUAUUAAAUAGGUGCGGGGUUCCCAGCACCUUACAACCUUCUUAGAGGGACAAGCGGCUCCUAGCCGCACGAAACAGAGCAAUAACAGGUCUGUGAUGCCCUUAGAUGUCCGGGGCCGCACGCGCGCUACACUGAAGGAAGCAGCGUGUCUUUAUCCCUGUCUGAAAAGACUGGGUAACCCGUGGAACUUCUUUCGUGAUUGGGAUAGGGGCUUGCAAUUGUUCCCCUUGAACGAGGAAUUCCCAGUAAGCGCGAGUCAUAAGCUCGCGUUGAUUACGUCCCUGCCCUUUGUACACACCGCCCGUCGCUACUACCGAUUGAAUGAUUUAGUGAGGUCUUCGGACCGAUGUCCGGCGCGGCCUUUCGGUUGCGCCGGUCUGUUGGAAAGAUGACCAAACUUGAUCAUUUA